rnacentral:rRNA from 1 species
UACGUAGGGUGCAAGCGUUGUCCGGAAUUAUUGGGCGUAAAGAGCUCGUAGGCGGUUUGUCGCGUCUGCUGUGAAAACUGGAGGCUCAACCUCCAGCCUGCAGUGGGUACGGGCAGACUAGAGUGCGGUAGGGGAGAUUGGAAUUCCUGGUGUAGCGGUGGAAUGCGCAGAUAUCAGGAGGAACACCGAUGGCGAAGGCAGGUCUCUGGGCCAUUACUGACACUGAGAAGCGAAAGCAUGGGGAGCGAACAGG